CUUGGCACCAGGAACCGAAGAAGGACGUAGGAAUCUGCGAUAAGCCUCGGGGAGUCGAUAACCAGACUGUGAUCCGAGGAUUUCCGAAUGGGGAAACCCGGCUGGAGGCAAGUCCAGUCACUCCCGCCUGAACACAUAGGGCGGGUAGAGGGAACGUGGGGAAGUGAAACAUCUCAGUACCCACAGGAAGAGAAAACAACAGUGAUUCCGAGAGUAGUGGCGAGCGAAAUCGGAUGAGGCCAAACCUCGAGUGUGUGAUACCCGGCAGGGGUUGCAUUCGGGGGGUUGUGGGACCGCUCACCUUCGUCUGCCGGCGAGGGACAGAGUAAGAAACCAGUGCGGAAGUCGAAGUCGGUUGGAAAGCCGUACCGUAGAGGGUGAUAGGCCCGUAGACGUAAAGCGCUGGCUCUGGAGCGUGUUCCCAAGUAACACGGAACCCCUGAAAUUCCGUGUGAAUCUGGCGGGACCACCCGUUAAGCCUAAAUACUCCUUGAUGACCGAU
rnacentral:rRNA from 1 species